CAUUUCCAUACUGCUGUUGAUC
rnacentral:piRNA from 1 species